GAUGAACGCUGGCGGCGUGCCUAAUACAUGCAAGUCGAGCGAACGGACGAGAAGCUUGCUUCUCUGAUGUUAGCGGCGGACGGGUGAGUAACACGUGGAUAACCUACCUAUAAGACUGGGAUAACUUCGGGAAACCGGAGCUAAUACCGGAUAAUAUUUUGAACCGCAUGGUUCAAAAGUGAAAGACGGUCUUGCUGUCACUUAUAGAUGGAUCCGCGCUGCAUUAGCUAGUUGGUAAGGUAACGGCUUACCAAGGCAACGAUGCAUAGCCGACCUGAGAGGGUGAUCGGCCACACUGGAACUGAGACACGGUCCAGACUCCUACGGGAGGCAGCAGUAGGGAAUCUUCCGCAAUGGGCGAAAGCCUGACGGAGCAACGCCGCGUGAGUGAUGAAGGUCUUCGGAUCGUAAAACUCUGUUAUUAGGGAAGAACAUAUGUAUAAGUAACUGUGCACAUCUUGACGGUACCUAAUCAGAAAGCCACGGCUAACUACAUG
rnacentral:rRNA from 1 species